CGGGAUGUAGCGCAGCCUGGUAGCGCACCUGCUUCGGGAGCAGGGGGCCGGAGGUUCAAAUCCUCUCAUCCCGACCA
rnacentral:tRNA from 1 species